AUUUAAAAGAUGACGAAUUUAUGUUCAACUGUUGAAUGAUUACAGACAUGAACCAAAACUUAAUUCUGAAAGAG